rnacentral:rRNA from 1 species
UACGUAGGGGGCAAGCGUUGUCCGGAUUUAUUGGGCGUAAAGCGCUCGCAGGCGGUCCGAUGCGUCGUGCGUGAAAGACCCCGGCUCAACUGGGGAGGGUCGUGCGAUACGGUCGGACUCGAGGCCAGUAGGGGGACGCGGAAUUCCGGGUGUAGUGGUGGAAUGCGUAGAGAUCCGGAGGAACACCAGCGGCGAAGGCGGCGUCCUGGACUGGUACUGACGCUCAGGAGCGAAAGCUAGGGGAGCAAACGGG